rnacentral:rRNA from 1 species
UAAGUCAGGCGUGAAAGCUCCCGGCUAAACUGGGAGAGGUCGUCUGAAACUGUGUAUCUAGAGUGUGGCAGAGGGAUGUGGAAUUCCGCGUGUAGUGGUGAAAUGCGUAGAUAUGCGGAGGAACACCAGUGGCGAAGGCGGCAUCCUGGGCCACAACUGACGCUGAGACGCGAAAGCAUGGGUAGCGAACGGGAUUAGAAACCCCGGUAGUCCAUGCCGUAAACGAUGCACACUAGGUGUUCGUGCGGCCACGGUCGUAUGAGUGCCGAAGCAAACGCGAUAAGUGUGCCGCCUGGGGAGUACGGUCGCAAGGCUAAAACUCAAAGGAAUUGACGGGGGCCCGCACAAGCAGCGGAGCGUGUGGUUUAAUUCGAGGCUACGCGAAGAACCUUACCUGGGUUUGACAUACAGGUGGUAGUGAAGCGAAAGCGGAACGACUUACGGGAGCCUGAACAGGUGCUGCAUGGCUGUCGUCAGCUCGUGUCGUGAGAUGUUCGGUUAAGUCCGAAAACGAGCGCAACCCCUAGGUUUAGUUACAAGUGUCUAGACCGACUGCCGGCGGCAAGCCGGAGGAAGGUGGGGAUGACGUCAAGUCAGCAUGGCCUUUAUAUCCAGGGCUACACACACGCUACAAUGGCGCGUACAGUGGGUAGCGAAGCCGCGAGGUGGAGCCAAUCCUAAAAAGCGCGUCUCAGUUCGGAUUGCAGGCUGCAACUCGCCUGCAUGAAGUCGGAGUUGCUAGUAACC